rnacentral:misc_RNA from 1 species
GGGGAGGGAGGGGGGUUGUGGGGGAGGAGGAGAUGCAGGCCUACAUUAUUUUAGUUGGAAGGAGAAUCAAAAGCAUUAAUUUAAAAAAAAAAAAUUACAAUAUGGUAGAAUUUUAAUUUAGUGAAUUGAAAUUAUACAUUUCUUAUCCUUAAACUUUUGUCUUUAUAAAUGGGGAUGCUAUGAAUAUAAUUAGAGAAGCCUUUUGGCAGACAAUUUUCAGAUUUGGUUUGAGAGAGCUCUUCUAAUCUUUUCAAUUCCAUGUUCACUCAUCUCAUCUGUCUCUCUUUUUCUCCCUAUGAACUCUUGUUAAUGGGUUUGACUUUGAUCUUCUCUUUAGAAUAUUUAAACCAUACUAAACAGAAUGCGCAUCAUGGCUUGUCUCCAAAUAAUCAUUUUAUGAUUUUAGAACCC